UUUAUCUUUUGUUUAAAUGUGCUGUUUUAACGUGAUUUAACGUUGCUGUUUUGCUAUUUUGUGACAGACAAGGAAGGAAGUGAUAUUAUUUUAUCUCCAGUUGCAUUAUCUCCUUGCAUUAGUUUCAGACUUACGUCAGACUUAUUUAUUUUGUCACGUGCUAAGUAGCAAGCCCAUUAGAAAAGUGACGUUUAACAAAACAUUUAAACGAUGCCAUUCCUUUUAGAAUUAGACUGAUUCAAAAUAUUCAGAAUAAUCUACUGGAAUUGGAGGAGAAGCUAGAGGCGUGGAGGUUUGCCCUGGAAAGGAGAGGAAUGAAGGUUAGCUGCAGCAAGACGGAGUAUCUGUGUGUGAAUGAGAGGGACCCAAGUGGAAGAGUGAGGUUACAGGGAGAAGAGAUCAAGAAGGUGGAGGAUUUUAAGUACUUAGGGUCAACAGUCCAGAGCAAUGGAGAGUGUGGAAAAGAGGUGAAGAAGCGUGUACAGGCAGGCUGGAACGGCUGGAGAAAAGUGUCAGGUGUGAUAGAAGAGUUUCAGCUAAAAUGAAAGGUUUACAAAACUAUUAAUUCAAAUGGAUUGGAUAGUAUAGUUCAAUUAUCUAUCUCUGUUACAGAGAAUAGAGCACGUGUUUGCUGCAAACAGCCGCGUCAUUGCCACAUGGUUUCCACCAUCAUCCACAAACCCCAUGGAUCACCUGCUGGACAAUGCAGCCAGUCUCCAGUGGGUUCUGCUUCCUAUUUGUACCUGGACACUGGAUACUCUAUACUGAGGCCACAGGCUAGAGAGAUUUUCUUUCUAGAUCCCCUCUGUGGCAGCGGCUGGAGAGAUGAGAGUAGAGUCCAUCUAGUCAGGUUUUUAGGACACCUUCCAAGAUCCUUCCUGGACAGUGGUAGUUCUGUUUUAAACCACUUGUCCUUUGUUUGUUUAAUAAAUGCUUCUGUUUUUAUUUGAAUGCAUUAAGAUGUUCCAAACAAACAAAAACA